GUAGAUCUCAAUUAAACCAAAACUUUCAUAUUCUUCAUUCUCAAAAAAAAAACCUUUGGUCUCUCUUAUCUGUCUGUCUCUCCCCUCCCUGAUCCCUUUUCUUCUCAAUCUAGAGCAAUCCCUUGCCUCUAUCUUCUCAAUGGGCUCAGACUACACUUGCACUUGUAGUGGAUUGUAAUGGAGGCUUCAAACCAUAGGCAUGUCACUGUUUGCUGCGAUGCGGCGGUCACCAGGAACGAGGCGAUGCAAAGAUAGGAGCUUUACUCAUAACUAAAGGAUAGGGAAGACAAUUGAUUCAGGAUCAUGUCAAGGAACUUCGGGAACUUGUCCCAAAUGGUGCCAAGUGCAACAUUGAUGGCAUUGAGGACUGAACAAUAAAACACAUGAUGUAUUUAAGAAGAAUGACUGACCAAGCUGAAAAAUAUGCACAUCAAGAUCAAGAGUGUAUUGGUACACUGUGGUGAGGUGCAUGGUGGACAUUACUACGCCUUUAGCAAGCCAACACUUUCUGAUCAGUGAUGCAUAAGUACACCACUCUGAAGUCUCUAAGUGCUCAUGUAUACCUUAAUUAUCUUCCUUUUUGUACAUAGUUCUUUUUGUAAGCUUACAUAUACAUGAAUUUGUUGAG